rnacentral:lncRNA from 1 species
CGAAGAGAGAAGUUGGGAAAAAGACUUUCUCCUGAGGGUUAUCUACUUUUCCUGCUGGUGACUGGAAAUCUUUCCCCCCAACACUUCCCAAUUGAAGGGACUUCUGAAGAGAAACCUGAGCAGAAUUUACCUCAGCUCCUGUUGCCCAGGGGUUUUCCAGUAUCCCUUGGAACACAUCUCCUUUUGAAACAGAAACCCAGAAGAAGGCUCAGACAUGAUUCAUCUGCCUUAACAAGAAGCGGAGAAGGAGAAAUAGCUUUGUCACAAAGGGACAGCAGCUUUGAUUCUUAGUCCAAUUGCAUCCCAAACUAGUGAUAAGUGUGGGAAGACAUCUUCUCUAACUCACAAAAUAAAUCUUAAAAAAUAUUAUUAUUUCA